AGAAUACUACAGCUGGGUAGAACAAUCUAUCUGUUCAGAAAGGACAUUUGUUAUAAACUUACUAAGAUAUUUAGAGAAAGCACUGCCUUCUAUCAGCCUCCCACAUUCUUGAGAAUGGACUCUACAAACUUGCCAAUGUGAGAGUUGAUGCUUCCCAUCUAGUAUGGAAGAAUCGGGUUCAGAAGUUUGUCACACUAUUUUUGAAAGCCUCCCAUUGUCUGUGUACUAAUCCUGAGUUGUGUUAUGGAAAGACUGAGAAUCCUGCAUCCCAUGAUUUUCUGUGCUUAAGCAAUGCACUUGUUGGACUAUGAGAAGGACACAGAGGAGACAAAUUCCUGAGGCUUGAAAAUGAAAGACAAUGGCAAACAUUUGGUUAAUUUACCAUUGGGUAAUGAAUUAGAGGUGCCUUUCCUGGUCCCGCCUGCCCGCCAGAAGCCUCCACCCCCUCUUCCAGGACUGGUUGCCACCCACUCAUCUGUCAUCUUGCUCACUUGUCACCUACACAAAGCCUUUCUUUCUUCUCUGCAGGCAGUGCUAACGGCUUCCUCCUCUGGGUCCCCAGCCCUUUGUGUGUGCUAUAUUUAGAAGGACACAAAUUGUUCUGAAUGAUUUGUUUGUACGUCUGUCUCCCCAAGGAGGUGAUGAGCUCCUUGGAGCCAGGGACUAUGUCCUCAUCAUUUUUAGAUGCCCAUCUAUUUUUGUUGAAUAAAUCUGUG
rnacentral:lncRNA from 1 species